CAAAGGCCUGGUCCUGACUUUUUUGUCAACUCUAGCUAGACUUACACAUGCAAGUAUCCGCACACCCGUGAGAAUGCCCCACAGUUCCCUGAAUGGGAGCAAGGAGCUGGUAUCAGGCACACAUUUGUUAGCCCACGACGCCUUGCUAAGCCACACCCUCAAGGGUAUUCAGCAGUGAUAAAUAUUAAGCCAUAAGUGAAAACUUGACUUAGUUAAAGCUAUAAAAGGCCGGUAAAUCUCGUGCCAGCCACCGCGGUUAUACGAGAGGCCUAAGUUGACAGACAUCGGCGUAAAGAGUGGUUAGGGAAGACAUAAACUAAAGCCGAAACUUCUCAAAGCUGUUAUACGCUUACGAAGAUAGGAAGCCCCCCUACGAAAGUGGCUUUAAAUUUCCUGACUCCACGAAAGCUGAGAAACAAACUGGGAUUAGAUACCCCACUAUGCUCAGCCGUAAAAUUUGAUAGAAUUCUACACCCACUAUCCGCCAGGGAAUUACGAGCACCAGCUUAAAACCCAAAGGACUUGGCGGUGCUUUAGACCCACCUAGAGGAGCCUGUUCUAGAACCGACAACCCCCGUUAAACCUCACCCUCCCUUGUUCUUUCCGCCUAUAUACCGCCGUCGCCAGCUUACCCUUUGAGGGACUAAUAGUAAGCAAAGUCAGUAAAACUCAAAACGUCAGGUCGAGGUGUAGCAUAUGAGAGGGGAAGAAAUGGGCUACAUUUCCUAUUACAGGAAACACGGAUAUUGUAAUGAAACGUACAUUAGAAGGAGGAUUUAGCAGUAAGCAAAAAAUAGAGUGUUUUGCUGAAGCUGGCUCUGAAGCGCGCACACACCGCCCGUCACUCUCCCCAAAAGAAUCCUACCAAAUACCUAAAAAGUAAAAUCUAACAGAGGGGAGGCAAGUCGUAACAUGGUAAGUGUACCGGAAGGUGCACUUGGUAAAU
rnacentral:ncRNA from 1 species